ensembl:miRNA Mir192 microRNA 192
GUGCACAGGGCUCUGACCUAUGAAUUGACAGCCAGUGCUCUGGCCUCUUCUCUGGCUGCCAAUUCCAUAGGUCACAGGUAUGUUCGCC